rnacentral:rRNA from 1 species
CCUACGGGGGGCAGCAGUGGGGAAUAUUGCACAAUGGGCGCAAGCCUGAUGCAGCCAUGCCGCGUGUGUGAAGAAGGCCUUCGGGUUGUAAAGCACUUUCAGCGGGGAGGAAGGCGUUAAGGUUAAUAACCUUGUCGAUUGACGUUACCCGCAGAAGAAGCACCGGCUAACUCCGUGCCAGCAGCCGCGGUAAUACGGAGGGUGCAAGCGUUAAUCGGAAUUACUGGGCGUAAAGCGCGCGCAGGCGGUCUGUCAAGUCGGAUGUGAAAUCCCCGGGCUCAACCUGGGAACGGCAUUCGAAACUGGCAGGCUAGAGGCUUGUAGAGGGGGGUAGAAUUCCAGGUGUAGCGGUGAAAUGCGUAGAGAUCUGGAGGAAUACCGGUGGCGAAGGCGGCCCCCUGGACAAAGACUGACGCUCAGGUGCGAAAGCGUGGGGAGCAAACAGGAUUAGAUACCCUUGUAGUC